AUACGUAGGUGACAAGCGUUAUCCGGAUUUACUGGGCGUAAAGGGCGUGUAGGCGGUCUUGCAAGUCAGAAGUGAAAUUCCUGAGCUCAACUCGGGCGCUGCUUCUGAAACUGCAGGACUUGAGUGCUGGAGGGGAUAGCGGAAUUCCUAGUGGAGCGGUAAAAUGCGCAGAUAUUAGGAAGAACACCGGUGGCGAAGGCGGCUAUCUGGACAGUACCUGACACCGAGGCGCGAAAGCGUGGGGAGCAAACAGGAUUAGAUACCCGGGUAGCCCACGCCGUAAACGAUGAAUACUCGGUGUAGGGGGUAUCGACUCCCUCUGUGCCGCAGUUAACACAUUAAGUAUUCCACCUGGGGAGUACGGCCGCAAGGUUGAAACUCAAAGGAAUUGACGGGG
rnacentral:rRNA from 1 species